GAAGAUAGAGCCUACAUCAUCUAAAGUUCAACUUUGGAAAUUUGCGGGGGAAAAAAGCAAUACAUUUAAAGGAAGUUCUUGCAGGGAAAGCUGUUAUAUUGGAUUACAUUUUGAAAAACAGCUUCAGCUAAAGCUACAAAUGCUUGCUAUUUUUCACACCUGCAUUUCAAACAUUUAUAGGGAAAACUGGAUAGUCUUUGGGUGGUAGUUCUUGUUCUUCUUUCAGAAUAAAGACUUCAUUUUAAAACGUGACCCAGAUUUUUAAAAAUUGAGGCAGCAGAAGUUCUGCAAGGCCCUGAGUAUUUAAUUAGUGCUGUUAGAAAGUCUCCAGGUGAUUUUGAAGUUUUGUGGGAAGCCCUCAGGGAGCGGCGAUGGAUGGGAUGUGGUGGCAGUAACUUGAGGGAUUACCGAACUUACCUCCUUUAUCUCUUAGUUUCUCUGAAACUUAAAAAUACAUACAUAUUCCAACCAAGCUGACGCUCCAUCUAGACUGGUUCCCCAUAUAUGGAGACAGGAGGAUGGAGAUCCUCGGCUAGACUUUGUUUGGGGACCCUGAAUUUAAACUUCCACCGCAGGUGUUUACCUUCAUCACUUCUUCCCUUGCUCUUUAAAUAGAUCCACCAAAGCAGUGACUUAGCAAUCAUCCUGGGCAUCCUUAGCAAUCAUUCUGCGCAGAGAACCCACUUGGGCACUCUGCUUGUUCACUCAGUAAAAUAACAUUCCCAACAAUAAGGAAAAUUAUGACAUCUAGAAAGCCAUUAUUUUCCCAUGUUUUGUUUUUGUCCAGUUGUGUAUUUUUCCUUUCAUCAUAUUCUUUUUUGCAGGUUAAUGAAGCGUUUGCUCAAAGCAUUAGUCUCUCUGCCACUGGAUAUUUUAGCUGAAAAAUAUUUUAUUGGAACUUUCCAACAAAAUCCUCCUGGAUAUAUUGAAAUAUUACAGCUCUUCAGCAGGAUCUGGACCUAUCAACUCCGUGACUGCCCAACAUAGCUUAUAAGACAAUGCAGUUGUAUCACAAGUGUAUGUGAGUCUGGGCUUUCAAAAUGUCUCAGCAAUAAGUCAAAGAGGAGGAAUGGCCACCAUCUGUGUGCUUGGUCUCAUAAAUUGUGUCAUUUGAAUUCAUUUUAGCCUCACUUCCGGCAAAAUACAUCCUCAUUGCCACAGCAACUAGCCCACCAACCAACAAGAUGGUUUAAAAAAGAAAAGUAUUUUGGGGUUUCUUUCUUUU
rnacentral:lncRNA from 1 species